GGGCUGGGGCUCAGCGGUAGAGCACUUGCCUAGCAUGUAUAAGGCCCUGGGUUCGAUCCUCAGCACCACA
rnacentral:tRNA from 1 species